rnacentral:rRNA from 1 species
CCAGCUCCAAUAGCGUAUAUUAAAGUUGUUGCAGUUAAAAAGCUCGUAGUUGGAUUUCUGGCAGACGCUGGUUGCUCGCUUCGGCAACGAAGUGCGGCUUCUUUGUGUUUGUCAUCCUUCUAGAUUGGGGUGAUGCUCGGUUAACUCCUGGUGUUGCUCUUGUCUAGAUUUUUUACUUUGAAGAAAUUAGAGUGUUCAAAGCAGGCAUAUCGCUUUGUAUACAUUAGCAUGGAAUAAUACUAUAGGACUUUGGUUCUAUUGUGUUGGUCUAGAACUGAAGUAAUGAUUGAUAGGGAUAGUUGGGGGUGCUAGUAUUCAACGGCCAGAGGUGAAAUUCUUGGAUUCGUUGAAGACUAACUUAUGCGAAAGCAUUCACCAAGGAUGUCUUCU